GACGAACGCUGGCGGCGUGCUUAACACAUGCAAGUCGAACGGAAAGGCCCUGCUUUUGUGGGGUGCUCGAGUGGCGAACGGGUGAGUAACACGUGAGUAACCUGCCCUUGACUUUGGGAUAACUUCAGGAAACUGGGGCUAAUACCGGAUAGGAGCUCCUGCUGCAUGGUGGGGGUUGGAAAGUUUCGGCGGUUGGGGAUGGACUCGCGGCUUAUCAGCUUGUUGGUGGGGUAGUGGCUUACCAAGGCUUUGACGGGUAGCCGGCCUGAGAGGGUGACCGGCCACAUUGGGACGGAGAUACGGCCCAGACGCCUACGGGAGGCAGCGGUGGGAAUAUUGCACAAUGGGCGGAAGCCUGAUGCAGCAACGCCGCGUGCGGGAUGACGGCCUUCGGGUUGUAAACCGCUUUCGCCUGUGACGAAGCGUGAGUGACGGUAAUGGGUAAAGAAGCACCGGCUAACUACGUG
rnacentral:rRNA from 1 species